UGGGGAAUAUUGCACAAUGGGCGCAAGCCUGAUGCAGCCAUGCCGCGUGUAUGAAGAAGGCCUUCGGGUUGUAAAGUACUUUCAGUCGGGAGGAAGGCGAUAAGGUUAAUAACCUUGUCGAUUGACGUUACCCGCAGAAGAAGCACCGGCUAACUCCGUGCCAGCAGCCGCGGUAAUACGGAGGGUGCAAGCGUUAAUCGGAAUUACUGGGCGUAAAGCGCACGCAGGCGGUCUGUCAAGUCGGAUGUGAAAUCCCCGGGCUCAACCUGGGAACUGCAUUCGAAACUGGCAGGCUAGAGUCUUGUAGAGGGGGGUAGAAUUCCAGGUGUAGCGGUGAAAUGCGUAGAGAUCUGGAGGAAUACCGGUGGCGAAGGCGGCCCCCUGGACGAAGACUGACGCUCAGGUGCGAAAGCGUGGGGAGCAAACAGG
rnacentral:rRNA from 1 species